rnacentral:rRNA from 1 species
CAGCCGCCGCGGUAAUACGAAGGGGGCUAGCGUUGCUCGGAAUGACUGGGCGUAAAGGGCGCGUAGGCGGCUGACACAGUCAGAUGUGAAAUUCCUGGGCUCAACCUGGGGACUGCAUUUGAGACGUGUUGGCUUGAGUGGAGAAGAGGGUCGUGGAAUUUCCAGUGUAGAGGUGAAAUUCGUAGAUAUUGGAAAGAACACCGGUGGCGAAGGCGGCGACCUGGUCUUUAACUGACGCUGAGGCGCGAAAGCAUGGGGAGCGAACAGGAUUAGAGACCCCAGUAGUCCCUGUCUCUUAUAC